UCGCAAAUUCACACAAUAGAGAAAAGAUGCCCAUGGACUGUAGUAUUAGAACACCGGUUACAAGAAAACACAAAGCAAAAUAAGCAACUGAAUAAUAGUCAACCGAGAUGUCUUCUAGUGCCUCAUGUACUCACAGUAACUAAUGCAGACUAGCAAUCUACUCACGAGACAAACAUCAGAUCAAUUCCAAUAGAGAGGCAUCCUGCUAUAACCGGGCCAAUAUUCCUCAAAACUGCCAAGGUCAUCAAAAACAAAGGAAGUCUGAAAAACUGUCACAGUCAAGAAGAAACUGC
rnacentral:lncRNA from 1 species